AUACGGAGGGUCCAAGCGUUAUCCGGAUUUAUUGGGUUUAAAGGGUACGUAGGCGGAAUUUUAAGUCAGUGGUGAAAUCUCGGAGCUUAACUUCGAAACUGCCAUUGAUACUGGAAUACUUGAGUAUAGUUGAGGUAGGCGGAAUAUGUAAUGUAGCGGUGAAAUGCAUAGAUAUUACAUAGAACACCGAUUGCGAAGGCAGCUUACUAAACUAUUACUGACGCUGAUGCACGAAAGCGUGGGGAGCGAACAGGAUUAGAAACCCCAGUAGUCC
rnacentral:rRNA from 1 species